CCUACGUGAGGCUGCAGUGGGGAAUAUUGCGCAAUGGGCGAAAGCCUGACGCAGCGACGCCGCGUGAGGGAUGAAGGUCUUCGGAUCGUAAACCUCUGUCAGCAGGGAAGAACGGUCACUGUGCUAAUCAGCAGUGAAUUGACGGUACCUGCAAAGGAAGCACCGGCUAACUCCGUGCCAGCAGCCGCGGUAAUACGGAGGGUGCGAGCGUUAAUCGGAAUUACUGGGCGUAAAGCGCUCGUAGGCGGUAUGUCAAGUCAAGGGUGAAAUCCCCGCGCGCAACGUGGGAACUGCCUUUGAAACUGGCAAACUGGAGUGUGUGAGAGGUUAGUGGAAGUCCAGGUGUAGGAGUGAAAUCCGUAGAUAUCUGGAGGAACAUCGGUGGCGAAGGCGACUAUCUGGCACAUAACUGACGCUGAGGAGCGAAAGCGUGGGUAGCAAACAGGAUUAGAUACCCUUGUAGUC
rnacentral:rRNA from 1 species